GUAGGAAUAGCUCAGUGGUACGGCGCAUGCUUGGCAGGCACGAGGUCCUGGGUUCAAUCCCCAGUACCUCCA
rnacentral:tRNA from 1 species